rnacentral:rRNA from 1 species
UACGUAGGGGGCAAGCGUUGUCCGGAUUUACUGGGUGUAAAGGGCGCGUAGGCGGACUUGUAAGUCAGAGGUGAAAUCCUGCAGCUUAACUGCAGAACUGCCUUUGAUACUGCAAGCCUUGAGUUCGAAAGAGAGAGAUGGAAUUCCAGGUGUAGUAGUGAAAUACGUAGAUAUCUGGAAGAACACCAGUGGCGAAGGCGAUCUCUUGGUUCGUAACUGACGCUGAGGCGCGAAAGCGUGGGUAGCAAACAGGAUUAGAUACCCUGGUAGUCCACGCUGUAAACGAUGAAUACUAGGUGUUGGACAAUAAUGUUCAGUGCCGCAGCUAACGCAUUAAGUAUUCCACCUGGGGAGUACGAUCGCAAGGUUG